rnacentral:rRNA from 1 species
CCAAGCAACGCCGCGUGGGUGAUGAAGUAUCUCGGUACGUAAAACCCUUUCGACGGGGAAGAAAACCGCAAGGUUUGACGGUACCCGUAGAAGAAGCCCCGGCUAACUCCGUGC